rnacentral:lncRNA from 1 species
AUCUGAUUCAUCCACUUGCUCCUCGCCCGUGGUAGGUACAUUUUCUAUGAUAGUUGCUGGCCGCUUUACAUGUAUUUCUGGUAACUGGACGCCACUACGUGUAGUGAUUGCUUUGACCUGCUCUUUAGGAUUUGUUUCAGCAUUGCUAGGCAAUGUCCCUUGAGCUCUACCUGAUAGUGCGACUGCAAUUUGUCCAACCUGUUGUUCUAAAUUCUUGAUUGAGGCUUGUUGGUUUUGAAAGUUGGUCUCAAUUUUAGUAAUGUAUUGAGCCAACGAUGGCUUUCUCCCUUGCUGUUGUUACUAUUGGAACCCUGGUGGUUUAUUUUGAUUGUUUCCUCCUUGUUCUUGUACCUGAUUAUUGGAUCAAGAAAAUUUUGGAUGGUUCCUCCAACCCAGAUUAUAUGUGUUGGAGAAAAGAUUAUUUUGCUGUCUCUGAAAGUUCUGCUCGUAGCUUACUUCUUCGGAUUGAUUGACAUGUGUUGAUGCCAAAGGGCAGCGUGUACUAGCAUGAUCUGCUCCACAGCUUUCGCAAACAGGUGGCGAUUGGUGUACCAUAUUAAUUGAUUUAGACAGAUUGUCCAUUUUGAUUGUAAGAACUUCCAUUUGCGCGGCCAAUGCGGUUACUGCAUCCAUGUUGUGUAACCCUAAUAUUUUCCUUGGAGCUUCCCUAUCGAUUAGCCACAUCGAUUGAUUCUCAGCUAUUUUUUUAUACAAAUCAUAGGCCUCAUUGACAUCAAGUUUCAUAACUGAUCCUCCCGCUGAAGCAUCUAUUAUAUUUCUGAACUCCUGUUUUAGACCGUGGUAGAAGAGCUAUUGUUGAGCCUGCUUAGGAAUGUCAAGGUUGGGGCAUUUUCUGAAAAAAAAAUUUGAACCUCUCUCAUGCCUCAAGAUAGCUCUCUAAAUCUUUUUGCUUGAAAGUGUGGACGUCAUUCCUAAUUUGGUGAACUCGAGAAGGUGGAAAGAAUUUCAUCGUGAAUUUUUGAACCAUAUCGUUCCAUGAUUGAAUGCUCCCUGGUGGUAAACAAAUAAACCAUUCUCUAGCAGCAUCCUUCAAGGUGUGAGAAAAUAAUCGCAUUCGAAAUGCA